AGAACGAACGUUGGCGGCGUGGAUUAGGCAUGCAAGUCGGGGAAUCCCAGCAAUGGGGGAACCGGCGUAAGGGGCAGUAAGGCGUGGGUACCUACCCUGGGGUUCGGGAUAGCUGUCCGAGAGGGCAGGUAAUACCGGAUGACCUGGUGACAGCAAAGAUUUAUCGCCCUGGGAGGGGCCCACGUGAUAUUAGGUCGUUGGUGAGGUAACGGCUCACCAAGCCAUAGAUGUCUAGCGGGUGUGAGAGCACGACCCGCGCCACUGGCACUGAGACACUGGCCAGACACCUACGGGUGGCUGCAGUCGAGGAUCUUCGGCAAUGGGCGCAAGCCUGACCGAGCGACGCCGCGUGGGCGAUGAAGGCCUUCGGGUUGUAAAGCCCUGUCGGGGGGAGAAAGGGUAAACUUGAUCUAUCCCGGAGGAAGCACGGGCUAAGUUCGUGCCAGCAGCCGC
rnacentral:rRNA from 1 species